AGGGCUCGGAGUGUGUGGGGACGGAGACAGGGAGGGUGAGGGCACGCGGAAGCGGCUCUGGGGGUUGGCUGAGCGGCGUGAAGCCGGCUGAAGUGUAAAAGGCAUGUAGGGUUUACUGAGAGGAUAGCUGGGAGCUCGGGGUGUGAGGCUGGGGUAGGGCGGUGCGGGCAGAGGAACUGCGGACUGAGGAGCAGUAGGGACCUGGUGGGGAGGGUACAGGGAAGGAGAUGGGAAGAGAGUGUAAACGUGUGGCGUGAGGGAUCCAAACAGGCCUCUGGAGCCUUGGAGAGACACUGACUGCAGCAGCGUUUAUAGGUCCUGAUGAUAUCUUUAUAUUGAUUUCUCUAGUCCUGUGGAGAAGGAAGCAUCUAUGUGGAAUAUGGGCCUAGGAGUAUGUUUUAGUGGUUUUCCCUUAAUAGGAGAAGCUACUUUGUUUCUGUUAAGGAAGUAGUAAAAACUCAGUUGCUUCAUUCUCUGAUUUUUGAACACUGCCUAGAUGAGCUCUGAAUGUGCCUUAGGUUCACAAAAUAAUUUUUAAAAGAUUUGCGAAGUGAAGUUCUGGCACUGGGAUACUGAACACCUCCAGUGCUGCUGUUAAUGUUGAUGAAAUUGUAUUGAGCAACACCAAAGCAUCCUUAGGGUGUUUGUGGUACAUGACUCUAUAUAAAUCACAGCUUGGUAUGUAAGUCCAAAGGUUGGUUUAAUAAAGUUGAUGCUCCCUGAAAAAAACUUCUCUUGUCGAUCUUUAGCCUGUCGUGGUUUUAAGAAUACAGUUAUAAAGCAGAUAAAUGGGAAUUUUUCUAUAACCCAAGUUGGUUUUGUAGCUUAGCUUUAGAGCAAGAAAGCUGACAAAUGAGCAUUAAUUGGCUGCUAAGGACAGGAGGUUUCAAAGGAGUCAAAUCCCAGUUGGUAUCCUGCAGCCAUCUCCAGGAUCACACAAAAUCUGCCAGGUAACUGCUGCGCUUGUCACCAUGGUGGGUUUGAUACUUGUUACUCAGCUAAGCUUUAAAGGACAAUUUAUUGUGUAAAAGAGUAAUUGCAGCUGCUCAGAAAUGGGAGGCUUUGAUGUGGGUGGUUCUGUGCAGGAAAAUAAACCUAUCCUGAAAAGCAAUCAUCAGUCAAAUGCUUAUUUAAAUGAGCUUUGCACUGGAGUCACCAGGACAUUAACAAAAAGUAAAAAGUGAUGUGGAACCUCAGAAAAUCUCACACCUUGAUGUGAUCUGUCUUCCAGUAAGAUGUAUGUGUUCUUACUGGCUCUCUAAAGGGAAGAUAAGUAUCUUCAUGGACUCCAUAGCUACUGGAGAAGAGAAAUCAGAGUUUUUAUUAUUACUCCAUAGUGGCACAGGUAGAAGGGUCAGGGGGGUGUACAGAGAUAAUAAAGCACCAGGAACAAAUCUCGUUUAUUAGGUGUUUGGGGAAGAUUCAAAUUACUGCAUUUUCCCACAUUAUUCACUAACCUUACUCCCUUGCUUACAGGUGAAGGAGGAUAUUGGGGAUUUUUAUCUUCUGAAGCAGAGCUAAAGUGGAGAGAAAAUGAGAUGUCUGGUUCAGUGGAUUAAAUGUUAGAAAAUAUCUCUAAAUCUGGAAAGACCAGAGUGGGGUCCUGGACUCUGUGCAGCAAACUUUGCUCUUGUAUUCUCUAAGCACUGUCACCGUGGUAUCUGGAGCACUGCUGCUCCCUAGAGUAAGGAAAACAACCUUCCGUCUGAAAAAUCAGGUGUCAAGCAAGAGCCAGCCAUGUCACACAGAUUUUUAUUUCCUCCUCUGUUCAGUGGAGGGAUGUUUUGUUCUGAUAUGAAUGGGCUACAUGGUUGGGAAUGGAAUAAUUGCAAUGUAAUGCUCAGACAUUAAAGAUUCUCAGCCUACAAAAUGCUAAUCUUACAUCCACUACCAUCACAUGGAAAAAUGAAAGCAGCUUUAGUCUUGUCUCUCUUAUGUAAAUAGAGCCCCCAGAGGAGCAAGCUGUUUUUUCAAUAACCAGAAAAGAAUUAAAUUAGGUUCUCAAUCAAGAAAGAAUUUUGCUUUAUAAAAGCAGAUAAUAAUGAAUGAAAAUACUUCUUUAACAAUAAACCCCUCUCAUCAGUUGGGA